rnacentral:misc_RNA from 1 species
AUUUUUUACACUCAUUAGUUUAUGCUUAUUUUAUUGGUUGUUGUUUUUGAGUAUAUGCUUUAAACUUUGUUAUUUAUGCUUAUGUACAGCUGUUAUUAUAAGUAUAUGUUAGUAAAAAUUAAAUAACAAAUGUCAAUUGAAUAUUCAAGCAAGUUUUCUCUACUGAAAUUGUUGGAUGUACAUUAAAAAGCCUUUUCAAAUCUCAUAUCUCUUCAACAACAACGCUAUUCCUUAACAUAUAAGGAUGUGAUUUUGUGUCCUUCAGAAAAUCCUCUGAGAGUUAAUAACUAUACAUGCCCAUAUUAUUUUUAUAUUUUUUUUUUAUCUAUUUAUACUUAAUUUUAUGGAAAAAUGCACAAGUACCCCCUCAACCUAUGCCUGAAAUCCCAGAGACACAUUUAUACUAUACUAAGGUCCUAUUA